UACGUAGGGUGCGAGCGUUGUCCGGAAUUAUUGGGCGUAAAGAGCUCGUAGGCGGUCUGUCGCGUCGAUCGUGAAAACUUGGGGCUUAACCCUGAGCUUGCGGUCGAUACGGGCAGGCUGGAGUUCGGUAGGGGAGACUGGAAUUCCUGGUGUAGCGGUGAAAUGCGCAGAUAUCAGGAGGAACACCGGUGGCGAAGGCGGGUCUCUGGGCCGAUACUGACGCUGAGGAGCGAAAGCGUGGGGAGCGAACAGG
rnacentral:rRNA from 1 species